AACUCCGUGCCAGCAGCCGCGGUAAUACGGGGGAUGCAAGCGUUAUCCGGAAUCAUUGGGCGUAAAGCGCCUGUAGGUUGUUUAAUAAGUCUGUUGUUAAAGACUAGGGCUCAACCCUAGAAAAGCAAUGGAUACUACUAGACUAGAGUAUGGCAGGGGUAGAGGGAAUUUCUAGUGUAGCGGUGAAAUGCGUAGAUAUUAGAAAGAACACCGGUGGCGAAAGCGCUCUACUGGACCAUUACUGACACUCAGAGGCGAAAGCUAGGGUAGCAAAAGGGAUUAGAUACCCCUGUAGUCCUAGCCGUAAACGAUGGAUACUAGAUGUUGUAUUUAUUUUACAGUAUCGUAGCUAACGCGUUAAGUAUCCCGCCUGGGGAGUACGCUCGCAAGGGUGAAACUCAAAGGAAUUGACGGGGGCCCGCACAAGCGGUGGAGCAUGUGGUUUAAUUCGAUGCAACGCGAAGAACCUUACCAGGGCUUGACAUACUGCGAAUCUCCUUGAAAGGGGAGAGUGCCUUCGGGAAUGCAGAUACAGGUGGUGCAUGGCUGUCGUCAGCUCGUGUCGUGAGAUGUUGGGUUAAGUCCCGCAACGAGCGCAACCCUUGUUUUUAGUUACCAAUUCGUUGGGUUUUCUAGAAAGACUGCCGGUGACAAACCGGAGGAAGGUGAGGAUGACGUCAAGUCAGCAUGCCCCUUAUGUCCUGGGCUACACACGUGCUACAAUGGUUAGGACAAAGAGUUGCAAGUUUGCAAAAACAAGCUAAUCUCGUAAACCUAACCUAAGUU
rnacentral:rRNA from 1 species